rnacentral:rRNA from 1 species
GGUUAAGCGACUAAGCGUACACGGUGGAUGCCCUGGCAGUCAGAGGCGAUGAAGGACGUGCUAAUCUGCGAUAAGCGUCGGUAAGGUGAUAUGAACCGUUAUAACCGGCGAUUUCCGAAUGGGGAAACCCAGUGUGAUUCGUCACACUAUCAUUAACUGAAUCCAUAGGUUAAUGAGGCGAACCGGGGGAACUGAAACAUCUAAGUACCCCGAGGAAAAGAAAUCAACCGAGAUUCCCCCAGUAGCGGCGAGCGAACGGGGAGCAGCCCAGAGCCUGAAUCAGUGUGUGUGUUAGUGGAAGCGUCUGGAAAGGCGCGCGAUACAGGGUGACAGCCCCGUACACAAAAAUGCACAUGCUGUGAGCUCGAUGAGUAGGGCGGGACACGUGGUAUCCUGUCUGAAUAUGGGGGGACCAUCCUCCAAGGCUAAAUACUCCUGACUGACCGAUAGUGAACCAGUACCGUGAGGGAAAGGCGAAAAGAACCCCGGCGAGGGGAGUGAAAAAGAACCUGAAACCGUGUACGUACAAGCAGUGGGAGCACGCUUAGGCGUGUGACUGCGUACCUUUUGUAUAAUGGGUCAGCGACUUAUAUUCUGUAGCAAGGUUAACCGAAUAGGGGAGCCGAAGGGAAACCGAGUCUUAACUGGGCGUUAAGUUGCAGGGUAUAGACCCGAAACCCGGUGAUCUAGCCAUGGGCAGGUUGAAGGUUGGGUAACACUAACUGGAGGACCGAACCGACUAAUGUUGAAAAAUUAGCGGAUGACUUGUGGCUGGGGGUGAAAGGCCAAUCAAACCGGGAGAUAGCUGGUUCUCCCCGAAAGCUAUUUAGGUAGCGCCUCGUGAACUCAUCUCCGGGGGUAGAGCACUGUUUCGGCAAGGGGGUCAUCCCGACUUACCAACCCGAUGCAAACUGCGAAUACCGGAGAAUGUUAUCACGGGAGACACACGGCGGGUGCUAACGUCCGUCGUGAAGAGGGAAACAACCCAGACCGCCAGCUAAGGUCCCAAAGUCAUGGUUAAGUGGGAAACGAUGUGGGAAGGCCCAGACAGCCAGGAUGUUGGCUUAGAAGCAGCCAUCAUUUAAAGAAAGCGUAAUAGCUCACUGGUCGAGUCGGCCUGCGCGGAAGAUGUAACGGGGCUAAACCAUGCACCGAAGCUGCGGCAGCGACGCUUAUGCGUUGUUGGGUAGGGGAGCGUUCUGUAAGCCUGUGAAGGUGUGCUGUGAGGCAUGCUGGAGGUAUCAGAAGUGCGAAUGCUGACAUAAGUAACGAUAAAGCGGGUGAAAAGCCCGCUCGCCGGAAGACCAAGGGUUCCUGUCCAACGUUAAUCGGGGCAGGGUGAGUCGACCCCUAAGGCGAGGCCGAAAGGCGUAGUCGAUGGGAAACAGGUUAAUAUUCCUGUACUUGGUGUUACUGCGAAGGGGGGACGGAGAAGGCUAUGUUGGUCGGGCGACGGUUGUCCCGGUUUAAGCGUGUAGGCUGGUUUUCCAGGCAAAUCCGGAAAAUCAAGGCUGAGGCGUGAUGACGAGGCACUACGGUGCUGAAGCAACAAAUGCCCUGCUUCCAGGAAAAGCCUCUAAGCAUCAGGUAACAUCAAAUCGUACCCCAAACCGACACAGGUGGUCAGGUAGAGAAUACCAAGGCGCUUGAGAGAACUCGGGUGAAGGAACUAGGCAAAAUGGUGCCGUAACUUCGGGAGAAGGCACGCUGAUAUGUAGGUGAAGUCCCUCGCGGAUGGAGCUGAAAUCAGUCGAAGAUACCAGCUGGCUGCAACUGUUUAUUAAAAACACAGCACUGUGCAAACACGAAAGUGGACGUAUACGGUGUGACGCCUGCCCGGUGCCGGAAGGUUAAUUGAUGGGGUCAGCGCAAGCGAAGCUCUUGAUCGAAGCCCCGGUAAACGGCGGUACGUAACUAUAACGGUCCUAAGGUAGCGAAAUUCCUUGUCGGGUAAGUUCCGACCUGCACGAAUGGCGUAAUGAUGGCCAGGCUGUCUCCACCCGAGACUCAGUGAAAUUGAACUCGCUGUGAAGAUGCAGUGUACCCGCGGCAAGACGGAAAGACCCCGUGAACCUUUACUAUAGCUUGACACUGAACAUUGAGCCUUGAUGUGUAGGAUAGGUGGGAGGCUUAGAAGUGUGGACGCCAGUCUGCAUGGAGCCGACCUUGAAAUACCACCCUUUAAUGUUUGAUGUUCUAACGUUGACCCGUAAUCCGGGUUGCGGACAGUGUCUGGUGGGUAGUUUGACUGGGGCGGUCUCCUCCUAAAGAGUAACGGAGGAGCACGAAGGUUGGCUAAUCCUGGUCGGACAUCAGGAGGUUAGUGCAAUGGCAUAAGCCAGCUUGACUGCGAGCGUGACGGCGCGAGCAGGUGCGAAAGCAGGUCAUAGUGAUCCGGUGGUUCUGAAUGGAAGGGCCAUCGCUCAACGGAUAAAAGGUACUCCGGGGAUAACAGGCUGAUACCGCCCAAGAGUUCAUAUCGACGGCGGUGUUUGGCACCUCGAUGUCGGCUCAUCACAUCCUGGGGCUGAAGUAGGUCCCAAGGGUAUGGCUGUUCGCCAUUUAAAGUGGUACGCGAGCUGGGUUUAGAACGUCGUGAGACAGUUCGGUCCCUAUCUGCCGUGGGCGCUGGAGAACUGAGGGGGCUGCUCCUAGUACGAGAGGACCGGAGUGGACGCAUCACUGGUGUUCGGGUUGUCAUGCCAAUGGCACUGCCCGGUAGCUAAAUGCGGAAGAGAUAAGUGCUGAAAGCAUCUAAGCACGAAACUUGCCCCGAGAUGAGUUCUCCCUGACUCCUUGAGAGUCCUGAAGGAACGUUGAAGACGACGACGUUGAUAGGCCGGGUGUGUAAGCGCAGCGAUGCGUUGAGCUAACCGGUACUAAUGAACCGUGAGGCUUAACCUU